GGUAUAAAAUAAAUUGCAAAGAGAAGAGCUAGGUACCUCCAAAUUCUGAAUAUUAUCCAAAUGAUUUGAUAUUUGUAGCGAAUUUAAUGAAAGGGAUAAGGAGUGGAAGAGAAACAGCUAGACAUUGAAACGGAUCAGUGCUGAAAGAGGUAGCAAAGGGGGAAGAAACAACCAAAUGUUAAAGCAAAACGGCAACUUAUAGAAAACCGUUUGAAGUUGCAUACAAUGAUACUAGUGUAUCUCUCUCUCUCUCUAUCCCACACGGCC
rnacentral:lncRNA from 1 species